UUAGGGGGCAAAUUAAUAAAAAAUAAAUAAUAAAAAAAAUUUUAGUAUAAAAAAAAUAUUUAAUGGGGGUUAAAGUAUUUUUAAUAGAAAAAAUUUUUAAAUUUAUAGUGUAAUAGUAUUGUAAAAGAAAUUUGAAAUAAAAUGAAAAAAAAAUUUUUAAAAAAGUAAAUUUAAUUUAUUGUAUCUUGUGUAUCAGAGUUUAUUAAUAAAUGUUUUUAUUUAAAAAUUUCUCGAAUUUAAAAGAGUUAAUUAAUUAUUAAAGUUAAUAUUACAUAAUUAUUUUAAAAAAUUAAUUAGAAAUGAAAUGUUAAUCGUUUUUAAAAAUAUCUAGUUUUUUUAGAAAAAAAUUUAAUUUUAAAUAAUAAUUUAUAAUUUUUUUUUUUAAAAAAAAAUUAUAAAUUAUUAUUAAAUAUUUUAGGGGAUAAGCUUUAAAAUAAAUUUUUAUAAAUAUAAAUUUUUAAUUAAUAAAAUUUUAGAAUUUUUAUUGUUAAUAAAUUAUAAUUUUUUAUAAAUAAUUUAUUAAUAUAAUAAUUAAAAUUUAAUUUUUUUAUUUUAAUUUUUUAUAAAAAAAUUAUUUUUAAUAAGAAAAAUUUAGAUAUAAUGAUAAAAUUAGUAUAUGAUUUAUUUUAUUAAAAAUAAAAUAUUAAAAUAAUUUUAAAAAAGGAAUUCGGCAAAUAUUUAUAUUCACUUGUUUAUCAAAAACAUGUCUUUUUGUUUAUAAUUUAAAGUCUAAUCUGCCCACUGAUAAAAAAUAUUGAAGGGCUGCAGUAUUUUGACUGUACAAAGGUAGCAUAAUCAUUAGUCUCUUAAUUGGUGACUUGUAUGAAGGAUUUAAUGAAAUAUAUACUGUCUCUUUUAAAUUUAUAGAAUUUAAUUUUUUAGUUAAAAAGCUAAAAUUUGUUUAAAAGACGAGAAGACCCUAUAGAGUUUAAUAUUUUUAUUAAUUUUUAUUUUUUAUAAAAUUGUUAUUAUAAAAAUUAAUUAAAUUAUUUUGUUGGGGUGAUAGAAAAAUUAAAUUAACUUUUUUUAUAAUUUUAACAUUAAUUUAUGAUUAAAUGAUCCGUAAUUUACGAUUAUAAGAUAAAAUUACCUUAGGGAUAACAGCGUAAUUUUUUUUUUUAGUUCAUAUAAGAAAAAAAGUUUGCGACCUCGAUGUUGGAUUAAGAUAAAAUUUAAAUGCAAAAGUUUAAAAUUUUGAUCUGUUCGAUCAUUAAAAUCUUACAUGAUCUGAGUUCAAACCGGUGUGAGCCAGGUUGGUUUCUAUCUUUAAUUUUAUUAAAUAUUUUAGUACGAAAGGAAUAAAUAUUUAAAAUAAUUUUGUUAAAAAGAAUUUUAUUAAUUUAUUAUAGAA
rnacentral:rRNA from 1 species